AUGUACUUACAUCAGCUCGUCAGAGCUGUUCGUGUACUUGUAACACAAUCAACUCAGAUUUUGAGAUACUAUAAGUUCAGAGAAAAAAAAGGAGGCCGUUCACCCUUACAACCUCAAGUCGUUGACCUCCGCCGAACGAGGCCGUGCGACGACGCAACGAUCAGGCCAUCCACCUCUGCCACAGGAGGCCGUUCGAUGAUGCAGCGCUCAGGACGUUGUGUUUUUUUCAGUACAUGUUUUGUGUGUUUUCAAGUUCACCUACUUAACGAUAUUAUGUCCAAUUUCCCCUUUGUUUACAUGUUGUUCCUAUAG
rnacentral:rRNA from 1 species